UGCUAAUCCAUUGGGGUUUCCCCGCGUGAGUUCGAAUCUCAUCCUGAUCGCGGCUAGCUCAGAGAGGACGGAAACCUCUCGUAGAGCAAAAGGGCAAAAGCUCGCUUGAUCUUGAUUUCCAGUCCGAAUACAGACCGCGAAAGCGUGGCCUAACGAUCCUUUACCACUACUUUCAUCGAUUCUUUACUUAUUCGGUAAGACGAGAAUUGAGCCUAUCCGGCUCUUCAUUCUGGUGUUAAGUGCAGCCACUCGGUGGCCGCUCGACUCGCGGCGAAGACAGUGUCAGGCGGGGAGUUUGACUGGGGCGGUACAUCUGUCAAAUCGUAACGCAGGUGUCCUAAGGCUAGCUCAGAGAGGACGGAAACCUCUCGUAGAGCAAAAGGGCAAAAGCUCGCUUGAUCUUGAUUUCCAGUCCGAAUACAGACCGCGAAAGCGUGGCCUAACGAUCCUUUACCACUACUUUCAUCGAUUCUUUACUUAUUCGGUAAGACGAGAAUUGAGCCUAUCCGGCUCUUCAUUCUGGUGUUACGUGCAGCCACUCGGUGGCCGCUCGACUCGCGCCGAAGACAGUGUCAGGCGGGGAGUUUGACUGGGGCGGUACAUCUGUCAAAUCGUAACGCAGGUGUCCUAAGGCUAGCUCAGAGAGGACGGAAACCUCUCGUAGAGCAAAAGGGCAAAAGCUCGCUUGAUCUUGAUUUCCAGUACGAAUACAGACCGCGAAAGCGUGGCCUAUCAAUCCUUUUGAAUUAGAAGGUCUCUAGCAAGAGCUGUCAGAAAAGUUACCACAGGGAUAACUGGCUUGUGGCAGCCAAGCGUCCAUAGCGACGUUGAUCUCAUCCCGAUCGCAACGUGUUUUGAUAAGG
rnacentral:ncRNA from 1 species